UACGGAGGGAGCUAGCGUUGUUCGGAAUUACUGGGCGUAAAGCGCGCGUAGGCGGCUUUGUAAGUUAGAGGUGAAAGCCCGGGGCUCAACCCCGGAAUAGCCUUUAAGACUGCAUCGCUAGAAUCCGGGAGAGGUGAGUGGAAUUCCGAGUGUAGAGGUGAAAUUCGUAGAUAUUCGGAAGAACACCAGUGGCGAAGGCGGCUCACUGGACCGGUAUUGACGCUGAGGUGCGAAAGCGUGGGGAGCAAACAGG
rnacentral:rRNA from 1 species